UCAUUAUAUAAGUUAUCGUUUAUUUGAUAGUGCCUUACUACUUGGAUAACCGUGGUAAUUCUAGAGCUAAUACAUGCUACAAGCCCUGACUUCGGAAGGGGCGUAUUUAUUAGAUUAAAAACCAACGCCCUCUGGGCUCCUUGGUGAAUCAUGAUAACUUCACGAAUCGCACGGCCUUGCGCCGGCGAUGGCUCAUUCAAAUUUCUUCCCUAUCAACUUUCGAUGUUUGGGUAGUGGCCAAACAUGGUUGCAACGGGUAACGGAGGGUUAGGGCUCGACCCCGGAGAAGGAGCCUGAGAAACGGCUACUACAUCCAAGGAAGGCAGCAGGCGCGCAAAUUACCCAAUCCCGACUCGGGGAGGUAGUGACAAUAAAUACUGAUACAGGGCUCUUUCGGGUCUUGUAAUCGGAAUGAGUACAAUUUAAAUCCCUUAACGAGGAACAAUUGGAGGGCAAGUCUGGUGCCAGCAGCCGCGGUAAUUCCAGCUCCAAUAGCGUAUAUUAAAGUUGUUGUGGUUAAAAAGCUCGUAGUUGAACCUUGGGCCUGGCUGGCCGGUCCGCCUCACCGCGUGUACUGGUCCGGCCGGGCCUUUCCCUCUGUGGAACCUCAUGCCCUUCACUGGGUGUGCAGGGGAAACAGGACUUUUACUUUGAAAAAAUUAGAGUGCUCCAGGCAGGCCUAUGCUCGAAUACAUUAGCAUGGAAUAAUAAAAUAGGACGUGCGGUUCUAUUUUGUUGGUUUCUAGGACCGCCGUAAUGAUUAAUAGGGACAGUCGGGGGCAUCAGUAUUCAAUUGUCAGAGGUGAAAUUCUUGGAUUUAUUGAAGACUAACUACUGCGAAAGCAUUUGCCAAGGAUGUUUUC
rnacentral:rRNA from 1 species